AUUGAACGCUGGCGGCAUGCCUUACACAUGCAAGUCGAACGGUAACAGGUUAAGCUGACGAGUGGCGAACGGGUGAGUAAUGUAUCGGAACGUGCCCAAUAGUGGGGGAUAGCCCGGCGAAAGCCGGAUUAAUACCGCAUGAGACCUGAGGGUGAAAGCGGGGGAUCGCAAGACCUCGCGCUGUUGGAGCGGCCGAUAUCAGGUUCGGGAGUUGGUGGGGUAAAGGCCUACCAAGCCUGCGAUCUGUAGCUGGUCUGAGAGGAUGACCAGCCACACUGGGACUGAGACACGGCCCAGACUCCUACGGGAGGCAGCAGUGGGGAAUUUUGGACAAUGGGCGCAAGCCUGAUCCAGCCAUGCCGCGUGCGGGAAGAAGGCCUUCGGGUUGUAAACCGCUUUUGUCAGGGAAGAAAUCUUCUGGGUUAAUACCUCGGGAGGAUGACGGUACCUGAAGAAUAAGCACCGGCUAACUACGUGCCAGCAGCCGCCGUAAUAC
rnacentral:rRNA from 1 species